CUAUCAUCAGAUACUAAACAGCAGAGUGACCUUGCUGCUGAAAACUAUAUGGCCUUUGCUGAUUGAUCUGUAGCUGCCUAGUGUUACUUUUUAAUUAUCCAGAUGCUCUGAAUUGCCAGUCUUGAUAAAGGUCCUAUAAUAGGACCGAAACGUCGAAUGUUAAAGGCAACGUUAUGGAACCUGAUUAACCUGAAUAAACUGAUUGACACAUCAAGAUCUUCAAAGUGAUUGAUUUCU